rnacentral:lncRNA from 1 species
CUGGCGCCGCUUCCUACAGGCCACGCCCACAACAAGCUCUCGCGCUCCCAGGCCACGCCCCCGGUGCCCCUUGCGCUCCCUGGCCCCGCCCCUCGAGGCCCCCUCAGGGCUGCGAGCCCGGUGUCUGUGCGGUGGGGGCGCCUGCGUGCCCUGCAGGGCUGAGGGCCUGUUGCGGGGCGGCUGCCUGGCGCCUCUGCAAGGUCUUCCUCCCUCCCUGCAGCUCCGAUCCGCUGCCGGGGAGGGAAACGACCCCGACAGAAACCCGAUUGGAAGCGGGAAGGUUACGCCUCGGAAACAUCUGCCUCCCCCAGCUCGACCAUGCUUCCCCCACCCAGUGAGGCUGAGCUGCGGCUUUCAGUCUGAGCCCCUGCGGCCCGCAGAGGCUGCUGCUGGGCUGGGCCCGGGCGGCACUAGGCUCGCACCUCGGCCCGUCCCCCACAGGAGGGGCCUCGGUUUUCUUCUCUGCACGUUUGCGUUUGGGGGAGCCUCCUGCCUCCACUCACUGCCACGGAGGGACUGGGCCAGGCCCUUGAUUCAUUUGGACCGGUCCAAAGUCUGCACUCCUACUUUGGCCCCUUGCCUCUCAGACCUUCUGAGAGCUGACCCCUUGGGAGAUGAAAGUCUAGGCUCUGCCAGCAGCCUUCAAAAUCAGUCCGAGGCCAGGCAAACUUUGCAGCACUCGUUUGCAGAGCUGGGGAUCCCUCCACAGGACGUGUGCCAGACAGAACUGUAG